GAUGAACGCUAGCUACAGGCUUAACACAUGCAAGUCGAGGGGUAACGAGAGGAAAGCUUGCUUUCCUUGUUGACGACCGGCGCACGGGUGAGUAACGCGUAUCCAACCUGCCCCCAACUAGGGAAUAACCUUGCGAAAGUAAGACUAAUACCCUAUAAUUUCCUCAGAUGACAUCUGACGAGGAAUAAAGAUUUAUCGGAUGUUGAUGGGGAUGCGUCUGAUUAGCUUGUUGGCGGGGUAACGGCCCACCAAGGCAACGAUCAGUAGGGGUUCUGAGAGGAAGGUCCCCCACAUUGGAACUGAGACACGGUCCAAACUCCUACGGGAGGCAGCAGUGAGGAAUAUUGGUCAAUGGGCGGAAGCCUGAACCAGCCAAGUAGCGUGCAGGAUGACGGCCCUAUGGGUUGUAAACUGCUUUUAUACAGGAAUAAAGUUAGCCACGUGUGGUUAUUUGUAGGUACUGUAUGAAUAAGGACCGGCUAAUUCCGUGCCAGCCGCCGCAGUAA
rnacentral:rRNA from 1 species